rnacentral:rRNA from 1 species
GACAGAGGUCUCAAGCGUUAGGCGGAAUCACUGGGCUUAAAGCGUGUGUAGGCGGAUUCCUAAGUACCUUGUGAAAUCCCCGGGCUUAACCCGGGAACUGCUUGGUAUACUGGGUGUCUUGAGCCAACUAGGGGCGACCGGAACAAACGGUGGAGCGGUGAAAUUCGUAGAUAUUCGGAAGAACACCAGUGGCGAAGGCGGCUCACUGGACCGGUAUUGACGCUGAGGUGCGAAAGCGUGGGGAGCAAACAGG